rnacentral:rRNA from 1 species
UGAGGAAUAUUGGACAAUGGUCGGAAGACUGAUCCAGCCAUGCCGCGUGCAGGAUGAAGGUCCUAUGGAUUGUAAACUGCUUUUGUAAGGGAAGAAUAAGGAGUACGUGUACUUUGAUGACGGUACCUUACGAAUAAGCAUCGGCUAACUCCGUGCCAGCAGCCGCGGUAAUACGGAGGAUGCGAGCGUUAUCCGGAAUCAUUGGGUUUAAAGGGUCCGUAGGCGGGCUGAUAAGUCAGAGGUGAAAGCGCUUAGCUCAACUAAGCAACUGCCUUUGAAACUGUCAGUCUUGAAUGAUUGUGAAGUAGUUGGAAUGUGUAGUGUAGCGGUGAAAUGCUUAGAUAUUACACAGAACACCGAUAGCGAAGGCAUAUUACUAACAAUUUAUUGACGCUGAUGGACGAAAGCGUGGGGAGCGAACAGGAUUAGAUACCCUGGUA